CAGCUGCCCCGGCCCGUGUCACCAGCCUGCAGGUGACAGAUAUACGGAGAGACUCGGUGACACUCACCUGGACCCCUAUCCCUGGUGCCUCUGGCUACAUCCUCUCCUGGAGUCCCCCAGCAGGUGAGAUGGGUGGGUGGCCCCAGGACAUGGAACAGUGUCCUGGCGGGUGCUUGCCAUCCCCCCUGACUCUGUCCCCUGGGUGUCAGCCGGUGGGGAGACGAGGCGGACGCUGCCUGGUGCUGCCAGCUCCCAGCAAGUCUCCGGGCUGCGCCUGGGCCAGCGCUACACCUUCACCCUCCGCCCGCUCCUGGGGAGCACACCGGGCGCUGAGACCUCCGUCAGCGAGCGCACAGGUACGGUGGGGUGGCUAGGGGGGCUGGCUGGGCUGGUCUCUGCUCUGGUGGUGGAUUCAGCCCUUCCCUGCCCGCAGUCUGCAGGGAUGCCCGCGGUGACAUCGUCUUCCUGGUGCACGGCACACGCGACAGCUCCUCCGGUGCUGAUGCCAUCCGCACCCUCCUCUCCAACACCGUGUCUGCCUUGGGGCGCCUGGGCCCUGAGGGCACCCAGGUGGCUCUGGCCACGUACAGCUACCGCAGCCUGCCCUGGCUGCUCCUCAACCGCUCCAGUGACCUGCCCACCGUGCUGGAGCAGAUCCGCACCAUACGCUAUGAGGAACCCAGCGGCAACGCCAUCGGUGAGGGGCGGCACUGGGAGCCAGGGUAGUGGCUGGUGGGAUCCUGCUGACCAUCUGCCUCGUCCUUCUCCCUCCCUAGGGGCAGCCAUCACCUUUGCCAGGACCUACUUAUUGAGCCCUGGCGCGGGGCGCCGACCCGGUGUGCCAGCAGUGCUGGUGGUCCUGGCUGAUGGACCCUCGGGGGAUGAUGCCAUCACUGCAGCCAGGGAUAUCAAGGCUGGGGGUGAGGAUGGAUGGGGUCCCAGCAGGGUGUGCAGAGGGUUCUGCUGGGUACUGAGGGUGCUCUUGGCUCAGGGGUCCAGGUGCUGGCUGUGAGCUUGGAGGGGGCCGACCGGGAGCAGCUCCGGCGCGUGGUGACCAGUGAGGAUCCACGGUACAUCUAUCAGGAUGGUGGUGCCCUGGCAGAGCUGGAGGGAGAGCUCACCGAUGACCUCUGCACCAUCAUCUCCAUCAGGCCGGAGCCAGAGCCAAAGCCGAAGCCCUGCACCGUGCAAUGCCCCAGGGGCGAGAAGGGAGACCGCGGCGAGGCAGUGAGUGCUUUGGCAUCCCACCCCUGGCUGGUGGCUCUGGGGAGGGGGCUGCAUACCCCAAAGCAUGCUGAUGCCAGCCCACAGGGGGUGCUCACCACUGACUUUGUCUCCACAGGGACCACAAGGACGCAUGGGGCCACCAGGUCCCCCUGGCGAGCCGGUAAUAUCCUGAUGGGGGGAGGGAGAUGGGGGGCAGCUCCCUGGCAGGGGGCAUGGACAUGGUCCCCGCAUCCCCUUGUCCUGCUGGCAGGUGGGUGUGGGCCAGGGACCUGUCCAGCCCUUGACACAGGGGUAGACAGAGAAGAUCCCUUGGCCACCACUUGCCACCCAGCCUCUCCUCUCCGCUGUCACCCCAGGGCCGCUAUGGGCCACCUGGCCCUCCAGGACCCCCAGGGCCACAGGGUCUGCCAGGAGAGAGCGCCGAGAGGCCAGGCAAGAAGGGGGAUAGGGUGA
rnacentral:lncRNA from 1 species